rnacentral:rRNA from 1 species
GAAGUAGGUAGCUUAACCUUCGGGAGGGCGCUUACCACUUUGUGAUUCAUGACUGGGGUGAAGUCGUAACAAGGUAACCGUAGGGGAACCUGCGGUUGGAUCACCUCCUUACCUGCAAGA